UCCCAGGAUAGCUCAGUUGGUAGAGAACGAGACUCUUAAUCUCAGGGUUGUAGGUUUGAGACCCAUACUGGGCA
rnacentral:tRNA from 1 species